rnacentral:rRNA from 1 species
UUCUUCUUGAAGUGAUAAGAAGUAGGCCCUGCCCCAUGUCCUAUGAUGGUAAUACCCGGGAUAAAUGGCAGCAGUACUCUAACUGUUCGAAGGUAGCGUGAUAGAUCGCCUUUUAAUAGGAGGCCGGUAUGAAUGGGUUAACGCGGGAACGACUGUGCCAGAUGAAAUAUAUUGAAAUUAAUUUCGAGGUGAAGAAGCUUCGAUGUUGGAAAAGGACGACAAGACCCUAAAAGCUUUUGCUAGGAGUGGGAUUAAAGGCAGUCCCGUGAAGGGCGGGCUGUGGGGGCCCCUUUAAUGGGUGUUUUUGUCAAGGUUGCGUGUUACGCGCCUCACAGGAUGAGGUGGUCAUGCUGAUUAGACUUAUCUUUGCUUUCGUUUUUGUUGGGGCAACAGGUUUAAGAUGUUUAGGCCGCGGUGGGAGAUAGACAUAUUUUCAUCCGCUUUAUGAGAGGAGGUGGACAAGUUACUUUAGGGAUAACAGCAUAAUCUUUCUUUAGAGUAUUUAUCAUAAGGGGGGUUUAUGACCUCGAUGUUGGAUUAGGGCAUCCUUGCGGCCCAGCGGCUUAAGAGGGUUGGACUGUUCGCCCAUUAAAGCCCUACA